rnacentral:lncRNA from 1 species
CCGCCACCUCGCCCGGCUAGUUUUUUGUCUUUUUUAGUAGAGACAGGGUUUCACCGUGUUAGCCAGGAUGGUCUUGAUCUCCUGACCUAGUGAUCCGCCCAUCUCGGCCUCCCAAAGUGCUGGGAUUACAGGCUUGAGCUACCGCGCCUGGCCUAUAGUUACAUUUUCAUUAUCCAUUCAUCUGUUUGUAGACACUGAGGUUGUUUCCAUGUCUUGGCUAUUAUGGAAAAUGCUGCAAUGGACAUGGGAGUCAAACAUCUUUUUCCAUCUCUUCAGUUUCAGCCUGUGUGUUUCCUUAAAGGGCAGCAUAUACAUUAUAUCUACAUAAUGAUGUUUUGGUCAGUGAUGGACCGCAUAUUAGACGGUAGUCCCCUAAGAUUAUAAUGAAAUGGAAAAAUUCAUAUCACCUAGUGAUGUCAUAGCCAUUGUAACAUCAUAGCACAAUUAUUUUUCAAAUGAACUUGUAUAGCUUACAUAUACAGUGUUUGUAAAGUCUGCAUCAUGUACAGUAAUGUCCUAGACCUUCAUAUGCAUCACUACUCACUCACUGACUCACCCAGGGCAACAGCCAGUCCUGAAAGCUCUAUGGCGAAUACUCCAUACAGAUAUACAAUUUUUUAAAAAUCUUUUUAUUUUUAUUUUAUUUUAUUUUUUAGUUUCACUCUUGUUGCCCACGCUGGAGUCCAAUGGUGCGAUCUCGGCUCACUGCAACCUCCACUUCCCGGGUACAAGCAAUUCUCCUGCCUCAGUCUCCCAGAUUACAGGCACAUGCCACCAAACCCAGCUAAUUUUUCUUGUUUUGUGUUUGUUUUUGUUUUGGGACAGAGUUUCACUCUUGUUGAACAUCUCCGUUUUAAAUGUAUUGUUUUCCUAAUUUUGGUUGCGUUGUCUGUGUUCUGCUGUAGCUUGCUAUGCUCCCUUAAAACAAUUGUUUUGAAUUCCUUGUCAGGAAAUAUUUAGAUCUCCACUUCUUUGGGGUUGGUUACUGUAAAAUUAUUGUGUUCCUUUCAUGGUGUCAUGCUUCCUCAGUUUUCAUGUUGCUUAAAGUGUUACAUUACUGUCUUUGUAUUUACUUGGAGAAGUCACUUCUUCCUGUCUUUGAUAACUGGCUUUGAGAGGAAAACACCUUCACCAGUUAACCAGGCUCAGGGAUUCUGAGGCUAUCUUGUACUUUUUCUAUGGAUGCACCCACUCUGCUCCUCUUGUUCGCUCUUGGGAUGGGGGGGAUUCUUAAGAUGGUAUACCUUCUGUUAAUACUGCAAAGCCAGGCCAAGCACGGAGAGUCUCCCAUUUGUUUUCCUUAGGGGCAGUGCCCUGAAAUGCUCGUUUGUGUACCUUCUCCCUACGGUAUCAAGCCUGUUGAGUGCAUGUGCUUGCAAACCAUCUGUAAAGCCCUACACUUGCUGUCCAGGGUACACCUAGAGAGGUCCAGCCAUGGGGUGGUGAAAAGGGUGAAGCACAUAGAGUAUUCGAGGUGCCCAUGGGCCAGCUGGGGAGUCUACAGGUAAGGCAUCCCAAGCAGCUUGUGAGCAGGCCUUUGAUGGAAUCUGUGAAGCAGCUAGUAAGGUAUGUGGCCCUUUGUUGAGUUUUAUACUGUGAUUGCUGUGAGUCUCUUGCCUUUGUUCCUUCCUCCACAUUCUCCCAGCUACUCGUUCAUGUGCAUCCCUUCAGUAUUCUGGGUUGAAUGAAGAAAAGGGAGGACUCUUAGGAAGCAUCCUGCACAGCUGGGGAAGCUGAGUGUUCACUCAUUAUACUUUUACAUUUCCCUGUGGGAGUUACUGUGGGCUGAGGGGGUCUGUCGUGUCACUGACCUGUACCACCUACAGGCAGGGGUGAUGUAGUGAAACUGUUCUUUUUAUUUUCUUCAAUGUUCCUAUGUUUAGAUUUUUUGCUCCAAUGGUGUUCUAGAAUUUCUUCCCUGGACUCCCAGAAAGGUAUAUUAAUCCAUGGAUAGUUGUCAAAACCAGGGCACUGUGGAGGAGAUGAGAUGAAUAGCAGUAGGAAACUCCUAUUCCACCAUCUGGGUCUCUCUGCCUUCUUCAUAUUUACUGUUAUAGACUGAUCUCUCCAGUUGGAAAACUCCUGGAGGACUGAACACUUUCUCAAGUACCACCUGAGUGGACAAAACAUCAACUACUUUUCCUCUGCUCUCAUACCACAGUCAACACAGAAGACUUCCAUGAAAUGUAUGGAAACUUAUCCCUACCAAUAGGCAAGCGAUCAGUUCUACAUUCAACAGCUUAUGGGUGUCCUCCAAUUCAAUUUCGCCACUACCACCCUGGAGACAGCAUCAGAUCACACAGAUUAAGGGCUCAGUCCCACGAGACUUCCUGUCACUUUUGACGCCAAUCACAAGCACCAGGAUGUUUUACCCAUGCUUCUGACCUACUGGCUAUAAAUGGGGGUCCCCAUGGCUUCCUCCUUGGGGUUGAUUUUCUACAGUGGCUCACAGAACUCAGGGAAACACAUUUAUGCUUACCAGUCUAUUGUAAAGGAUAUUACAAAGGAUACAGAUGAAAUGUUGCACAGGAAAAGAUAAGGGGGAAAAGGGACAGAGCUUCCAUGCCCUCCAAGGACGCACUGCCUUGCAGGAACCUCCACAUGUUUGGCUCCCCAGAAACUCUCUAAACCCUGUCCUUUGUGGUUGGUAUGGAAGCUUCAUUAUGUAGGCAUGAUUGAUGAGACCAUCGACCCACUGGUGAUCAGUUUAAUUUUCAGCCCUUUUCACCUCCUGGGAGGUGGAGCUGAAUGUGCCAAUCUUCUAAUCCUUCUGGGUCUCUUCAGUGAUCAGCACCCAUCCUGUGAAGCCACAUAUGAGCUGCCAGUCAUAAGUCAACUCAUUAGCAUACAAAAAGAUAACACUUCGAAGAGUCUAAGGAUUUUAGGAGUUGCAUGCCAGCAAAUGGGACAAAGACCAACUGUAUGUUACACCCUCCCAACCAUGGCACCCUCCCAACAUGGCACCCAGCAUAUUCCUGAACACAUAGGAAAUACCUGAUAGAUACUCGUUGACUGAAAAAAGAAGCUGAGUCAUCCACAGAGAGAGGUACAGGCCUCCUGGAGUCACAAAGCCUGGAGCAACAGGAGAACCACUAAAGAAGAAGAAACAGCUAGUUCCUGCCCUAACGGAUUAACCCACCUUUCAACAUUCCACCACUGUGAUAUGUUCCUGCCCUACCCUAAUCAAUCAACCUUGUGAUAUCCUGCCUUGGGACUUCCCCCUCCUCAUGACUAUGUACCUUGUGACAUUCUUUCCCUGCCAUGAAAAACUGCCCCCUAACUGUAACUUUCCACUACCUACCCCAAACCUAUAAAACCAGUUCCACUCCUACCACUCUUUGCUGAGUCUUUUCUCAGACUCAGCCCACUUGCACCCAAGUG